rnacentral:rRNA from 1 species
GGGUAGAUCUCCCACCCUUUGUAUACCAUACCUUUGUUGCUUUGGCGGGCCGCCUAGCUACUGGCUUCGGCUGGUAAGUGCCCGCCAGAGGACCCAAAACCCUGAAUUAUUAGUGUCGUCUGAGUAAAAAGUUAAUAUUUAAAACUUUCAACAACGGAUCUCUUGGCUCUGGCAUCGAUGAAGAACGCAGCGAAAUGCGAUAAGUAAUGUGAAUUGCAGAAUUCAGUGAAUCAUCGAAUCUUUGAACGCACAUUGCGCCCCUUGGUAUUCCGAGGGGCAUGCCUAUUCGAGCGUCAUUAUCACCCCUCAAGCCUAGCUUGGUGUUGGGGCCUGCCGUAAGGGCAGCCUCUAAAAUCAGUGGCAGUGCUGUCAGGCUCUAAGCGUAGUAAAUCUCUCGCUACAGAAACCUGGUGGACACUCGUCAGAAACCCCCCAUUUUUAAUGAUUGACCUCGGAUUAGGUAGGGAUACCCGCUGAACUUAAGCAUAUCAAU